ensembl:processed_transcript Gm29247 predicted gene 29247
GUAACCUAAGCGAUCUGCUAGAAAAGCUCAAGUGGGCAAAAGAGCAUGAUGCAGAGGCCAAGAAGAUAGCAAAAGCAGGACAAGAAUUUGCGAGAAAUAAUCUAAUGGGUGAUGAUAUAUUCUGUUAUUACUUCAAACUGUUCCAGGGCUAUGCAAAUUUACAAGUGAGCGAGCCCCAAAUUCGAGAGGGUAUGAAGAGGGUAGAGCCACAAUCCGAGGAUGACCUCUUCCCUUGCACGUGCCAUAGGAGAAAGGCCAAAGAUGAACUCUGAGAAGCAAAAUAUCUUCUGUUCAAAUCAUGGUGCUCUGAGGACACUUUACUAUAAAGGUUAUUUUUAAAUUUUGAAUGUGCACAUUCCUAGUUUGGGGUCAUAUCCUUGUCUGACAACUCACCUUUUACAACAGAAUCUGCUUUUCAGAGAGAUGCCCUUUGCUUCUCAGAUGUAGUGCACCUUACGCUUAUUUUUCAACAGUGAAAAUGAGUCAUACAGAGGUUAAAUUAAAAAUACCUUUUGGAAAUA